UACGUAGGUGACCAGCGUUGUCCGGAUUUACUGGGCGUAAAGAGCGCGCAGGCGGUCGUUCAAGUCGAGUGUGAAAGCCCCCGGCUCAACUGGGGAGGGUCACUCGAUACUGAUCGACUUGAAGGCAGGAGAGGGAAGCGGAAUUCCCGGUGUAGGGGUGAAAUUCGUAGAUAUCGGGAGGAACACCGGUGGCGAAGGCGGCGACCUGGGUCGAUACUGACGCUGAGGCGCGAAAGCGUGGGGAGCAAACAGG
rnacentral:rRNA from 1 species